rnacentral:misc_RNA from 1 species
CGCACAUUGCGCCCUUUGGUAUUCCGAAGGGCAUGCCCGUUCGAGCGUCAUUAAACCCACUCAAGCCUGGCUUGGUAUUGGGCGGCGAGGUGUCCUCGCGCCCCAAUGUCACCGGCGAGACUUCCGAUCGCGAGCGUUAUGGUAUUUACUUCGCAAAGCGAUCCGGCAAAGUCUCCGCCGUUAAACUUCAAUCAAGGUUGACCUCGGAUCGGGUAGGGAUACCCGCUGAACUUAA